rnacentral:tRNA from 1 species
GGGCCUGUAGUUCAGUGGAAGAAAAUCUGCUUGGCAUGGCAAAGGCCCCUGGUUCUAUCCCAGGCAUCUCCA